UAAGUACGGCGAGUGAAGCGGCAACAGCUCAAAUUUGAAAUCUGGCUUCGGCCCGAGUUGUAAUUUGCAGAGGAAGCUUUAGGCGCGGCACCUUCUGAGUCCCCUGGAACGGGGCGCCAUAGAGGGUGAGAGCCCCGUAUAGUUGGAUGCCUAGCCUGUGUAAAGCUCCUUCGACGAGUCGAGUAGUUUGGGAAUGCUGCUCAAAAUGGGAGGUAAAUUUCUUCUAAAGCUAAAUACCGGCCAGAGACCGAUAGCGCACAAGUAGAGUGAUCGAAAGAUGAAAAGCACUUUGAAAAGAGGGUUAAAUAGCACGUGAAAUUGUUGAAAGGGAAGCGCUUGUGACCAGACUUGCGCCGGGCGGAUCAUCCGGUGUUCUCACCGGUGCACUCCGCCCGGCUCAGGCCAGCAUCGGUUCUCGCGGGGGGAUAAAGGCAUCGGGAACGUGGCUCCUCCGGGAGUGUUAUAGCCCGUUGCGUAAUGCCCUCGCGGGGACCGAGGUUCGCGCAUCUGCAAGGAUGCUGGCGUAAUGGUCAUCAGCGACC
rnacentral:rRNA from 1 species